rnacentral:rRNA from 1 species
CCUACGGGAGACAGCAGUGAGGAAUAUUGGUCAAUGGACGAGAGUCUGAACCAGCCAAGUAGCGUGAAGGAUGACUGCCCUAUGGGUUGUAAACUUCUUUUAUAAAGGAAUAAAACGAGGCACGUGUGCCUUUUUGCAUGUACUUUAUGAAUAAGGAUCGGCUAACUCCGUGCCAGCAGCCGCGGUAAUACGGAGGAUCCGAGCGUUAUCCGGAUUUAUUGGGUUUAAAGGGAGCGUAGAUGGGUUGUUCAGUCAGUUGUGAAAGUUUGCGGCUCAACCGUAAAAUUGCAAUUGAUACUGGAAGUCUUGAGUACAGUUGAGGUAGGCGGAAUUCGUGGUGUAGCGGUGAAAUGCUUAGAUAUCACGAAGAACCCCGAUUGCGAAGGCAGCUUACUAAACUGUGACUGACAUUGAUGCUCGAAAGUGUGGGUAUCAAACAGGAUUAGAUACCCUGGUAGUC